CUGGCAGCUGGUGAGGAUGUGCUUGGUGGUAGGCAGCCGGGUGAGAGGAAGGAGCAGUGGCUGCCAUCCCUGCAGGUGCUCUGGGUGAAGGUUUUGUGCUCAUGAUGAAGGCAGAUGAAGACCAGCCAGGGAAGGCACUGCACACAAUAGCUUGGAGGAAUAAUAGAAGGCUCAGAGAAGACGUCAAACUCUGGUAAGAUACUGGGAUGCAGAUGCAUUUGGGAAGGCUACAGCAAUUACAGUGCCUGAGUUAACCCAGUGCUGACUGUCAACAGAAAGUCCCUACUUUGUUUCUAGGGAAAACUUGAGAUCAUCUUGUAUUU
rnacentral:lncRNA from 1 species